rnacentral:rRNA from 1 species
UCGAGAAUCUUCGGCAAUGAGCGCAAGCUUGACCGAGCGACGCCGCGUGCGGGAUGAAGGCCUUCGGGUUGUAAACCGCUGUCAGAGGGGACGAAAUGCUAGUGGGUACUCUCAUUAGCUUGACUGAUCCUCAAAGGAAGGGUGGGCUAAGUUCGUGCCAGCAGCCGCGGUAAGACGUACCACCCGAACGUUAUUCGGAUUUACUGGGCUUAAAGAGUCCGUAGGCGGCCAAGAAAGUUGGGUGUGAAAUACCUCGGCCUAACCGAGGAACUGCAUUCAAAACUACUUGGCUCGAGAGGGACAGAGGUGAGCGGAACUGAUGGUGGAGCGGUGAAAUGCGUUGAUAUCAUCAGGAACACCGGUGGCGAAAGCGGCUCACUGGGUCUUUUCUGACGCUCAGGGACGAAAGCUAGGGGAGCGAACG